ensembl:lncRNA
UUUCUCACUGUGCUCAUCUAUCUAGCUAAUGCUCUUCAGUCUGCAUCUCCUACAUUUGCCUCCCCCAUCCCUAAGCUGAUCUCUCAACCUGGCAUACGAGAAGUGUUAUGGGUGCAUUUCUCAUCCGUGUUACAGGAUAAAAGCUGCCCUUCUUGUACCGUUUGGGGAGGAGGGAGAAGGUGGAGGAGCCCUCCACAAAGAGGUGAGGCCAGCAGGUGCCCUUUCCUUUUCUGGGGUUGUCUGCUUGUCCUGGAGGAAGAUGAAUCUUGGCUCAGAGACAAAACCACAAAACAUCUAUUGAAUAAUCUGCUACAGGUGACAAAGGCAGCAGUGAUAUGGGAAAAGAGAAACUUCCUGAAGGCAAAAUGCAGGUCACCUGGAAAUGCUGACUUCAGCCUUCUCACAUUUCCAUUUGACCUCCUGUCACAAACUAGCCAAAGCUCUAAAAGGACCCACUUUAUCUCCCCACAGAGGGGAAACCUGCCUCCCUGCAACAUUUAUCUAAAGUGGUUAUGCUGUAAAAAUGUGAUGACUGCCUCUGCAGCACUCACCUGCUUCUAUAAUGGGAUACUUACAGAUAAAGGUGGCAGGAGCCUUCUGCUGGCUUACUUAGACCUUCCACACCUGACUUUGAGAGGACCAAAGGAAGGUGAGAUGAGUAUCAACCAGUAAAAAUGUUGUACUGCAGCCAGUUGGUGCCAAUCCUCA